UACGUAGGUGGCAAGCGUUGUUCGGAAUUAUUGGGCGUAAAGGGCGCGUAGGCGGUCUUGUAAGUCAGCUGUGAAAGCCCGGGGCUCAACCCCGGAGGGUCGGCUGAUACUGCAGGACUGGAGUACGGAAGAGGUAGCUGGAAUUCCCGGUGUAGCGGUGAAAUGCGUAGAUAUUGGGAAGAACACCAGUGGCGAAGGCGGCUAACUGGUCCGGUACUGACGCUGAGGUGCGAAAGCGUGGGGAGCAAACAGG
rnacentral:rRNA from 1 species